AACGAACGCUGGCGGCAGGCUUAACACAUGCAAGUCGAGCGCCCCGCAAGGGAGCGGCAGACGGGUGAGUAACGCGUGGGAACAUACCCUUUGGUUCGGAAUAACUCAGGGAAACUUGAGCUAAUACCGGAUACGUCCGUAAGGAGAAAGAUUUAUCGCCAAAGGAUUGGCCCGCGUCCGAUUAGCUAGUUGGUGAGGUAACGGCUCACCAAGGCUACGAUCGGUAGCUGGUCUGAGAGGAUGAUCAGCCACAUUGGGACUGAGACACGGCCCAAACUCCUACGGGAGGCAGCAGUGGGGAAUAUUGGACAAUGGGCGCAAGCCUGAUCCAGCCAUGCCGCGUGAGUGAUGAAGGCCUUAGGGUUGUAAAGCUCUUUUGUCCGGGAAGAUAAUGACUGUACCGGAAGAAUAAGCCCGGCUAACUUCGUGCCAGCAGCCGCGGUAAU
rnacentral:rRNA from 1 species